UACGGAGGAUGCGAGCGUUAUCCGGAUUUAUUGGGUUUAAAGGGAGCGUAGGCGGUCCGUUAAGUCAGCGGUAAAAUUGCGGGGCUCAACCCCGUCGAGCCGUUGAAACUGGCAGACUUGAGUUGGCGAGAAGUACGCGGAAUGCGCGGUGUAGCGGUGAGAUGCAUAGAUAUCGCGCAGAACUCCGAUUGCGAAGGCAGCGUACCGGCGCCAGACUGACGCUGAGGCACGAAAGCGUGGGGAUCGAACAGG
rnacentral:rRNA from 1 species